AGUGAACGCUGGCGGUAGGCCUAACACAUGCAAGUCGAACGGCAGCACAGUAAGAGCUUGCUCUUACGGGUGGCGAGUGGCGGACGGGUGAGGAAUACAUCGGAAUCUACUUUUUCGUGGGGGAUAACGUAGGGAAACUUACGCUAAUACCGCAUACGACCUACGGGUGAGAGCAGGGGAUCUUCGGACCUUGCGCGAUUGAAUGAGCCGAUGCCGGAUUAGCUAGUUGGCGGGGUAAAGGCCCACCAAGGCGACGAUCCGUAGCUGGUCUGAGAGGAUGAUCAGCCACACUGGAACUGAGACACGGUCCAGACUCCAACGGGAGGCAGCAGUGGGGAAUAUUGGACAAUGGGCGCAAGCCUGAUCCAGCCAUACCGCGUGGGUGAAGAAGGCCUUCGGGUUGUAAAGCCCUUUUGCUGGGAAAGAAAAGCAGCAGGUUAAUACCCCGCUGUUCUGACGGUACCCAAAGAAUAAGCACCGGCUAACUUCGUG
rnacentral:rRNA from 1 species